rnacentral:rRNA from 3 species
AAAUUGAAGAGUUUGAUCAUGGCUCAGAUUGAACGCUGGCGGCAGGCCUAACACAUGCAAGUCGAACGGUAGCACAGAGAGCUUGCUCUCGGGUGACGAGUGGCGGACGGGUGAGUAAUGUCUGGGAAACUGCCUGAUGGAGGGGGAUAACUACUGGAAACGGUAGCUAAUACCGCAUAACGUCGCAAGACCAAAGAGGGGGACCUUCGGGCCUCUUGCCAUCAGAUG